rnacentral:rRNA from 1 species
UACGAGGGGGGCGAGCGUUGUUCGGAAUUAUUGGGCGUAAAGGGUGCGUAGGCGGCCUGACAAGUCUGAUGUGAAAUCCCUGGGCUCAACCCAGGGCCUGCAUCGGAAACUGUCGGGCUUGAGUAUGGGAGAGGUGAGUGGAAUUUCCGGUGUAGCGGUGAAAUGCGUAGAUAUCGGAAGGAACACCUGUGGCGAAAGCGGCUCACUGGACCAUUACUGACGCUGAGGCACGAAAGCUAGGGGAGACAAACAGGAGUUAGAAAACCC